rnacentral:rRNA from 1 species
AGAGUUUGAUCCUGGCUCAGGACGAACGCUGGCGGCGUGCCUAAUACAUGCAAGUAGAACGCUGAAGAGAGGAGCUUGCUCUUCUUGGAUGAGUUGCGAACGGGUGAGUAACGCGUAGGUAACCUGCCUGGUAGCGGGGGAUAACUAUUGGAAACGAUAGCUAAUACCGCAUAACAGUAGAUGUUGCAUGACAUUUGCUUAAAAGGUGCAAUUGCAUCACUACCAGAUGGACCUGCGUUGUAUUAGCUAGUUGGUGGGGUAACGGCUCACCAAGGCGACGAUACAUAGCCGACCUGAGAGGGUGAUCGGCCACACUGGGACUGAGACACGGCCCAGACUCCUACGGGAGGCAGCAGUAGGGAAUCUUCGGCAAUGGACGGAAGUCUGACCGAGCAACGCCGCGUGAGUGAAGAAGGUUUUCGGAUCGUAAAGCUCUGUUGUAAGAGAAGAACGAGUGUGAGAGUGGAAAGUUCACACUGUGACGGUAUCUUACCAGAAAGGGACGGCUAACUACGUGCCAGCAGCCGCGGUAAUACGUAGGUCCCGAGCGUUGUCCGGAUUUAUUGGGCGUAAAGCGAGCGCAGGCGGUUAGAUAAGUCUGAAGUUAAAGGCUGUGGCUUAACCAUAGUACGCUUUGGAAACUGUUUAACUUGAGUGCAAGAGGGGAGAGUGGAAUUCCAUGUGUAGCGGUGAAAUGCGUAGAUAUAUGGAGGAACACCGGUGGCGAAAGCGGCUCUCUGGUCUGUAACUGACGCUGAGGCUCGAAAGCGUGGGGAGCGAACAGGAUUAGAUACCCUGGUAGUCCACGCCGUAAACGAUGAGUGCUAGGUGUUGGAUCCUUUCCGGGAUUCAGUGCCGCAGCUAACGCAUUAAGCACUCCGCCUGGGGAGUACGACCGCAAGGUUGAAACUCAAAGGAAUUGACGGGGGCCCG